AGCUCUGUAAGCGUAUACCAAAGUUGUUGCAGUUAAAACGCUCGUAGUCGAAUUUUGGCGUGUGCUUCUGAGACGCCUGUAUUGGUGUCGAAGGUUUCAGCCGCGCCUUUGUGGAGGGGGGUGUGGUGGUACUUUAUUGUAUUGCUGCAUUUCCGCCACUGUUUACUGUGAAAAAAUUAGAGUGUUCAAAGCGAGCGAUUGCCAUGAAUACAUUAGCAUGGAAUAAUAGAAUAGGACCUGGUUCUGUUUCUAUUGGUUUGUCAGUAUCGGGUAAUGAUUAAGAGGGACGGUCGGGGGCAUUUGUAUUCCAGGGUUAGAGGUGAAAUUCUUAGAUCCUUGGAAGACAAACAGCUGCGAAAGCGUCUGCCAAGGACGUUUUCA
rnacentral:rRNA from 1 species